UACGAAGGGAGCUAGCGUUGUUCGGAAUCACUGGGCGUAAAGGGCGUGUAGGUGGAAAUAUGCGUUAGAUGUGAAAUCCCCGGGCUUAACCUGGGAACUGCAUCUUAUACUGCGUAUCUUGAGUGCAAUAGAGGGUAGUGGAAUUUCCGGUGUAGCGGUGAAAUGCGUAGAUAUCGGAAGGAACACCAGUGGCGAAGGCGGCUACCUGGAUUGACACUGACACUGAGGCGCGAGAGCGUGGGGAGCAAACAGG
rnacentral:rRNA from 1 species